CCGCCUAAAGUGACGAUGUACGCCUGCCCCUCCCCCAGAUCAUUGCGAUAGCCCUCCCUUUCCCCAGGUCACGGCGGUAACAUCUCCUUGUAGUGUCGCCACAAUCGUUCGAAGGUUCCAUCUCCCUAUAUAUCCCUCCCCUCCACCAGAACGAGGCCCUCCCACACCCCUGAGAUCCUCACUCUCUUACCCCCAACUGUGGCAGGAACCCUAGCACCGCUAGGGAUGGAACUUUGGCCGACCCUUCCCAACCGUAACGACGGUAGGGUGCUGCAACUCCAUUCUUCCACCUCUAAACCAGUUGCAAAAGGUUGGUGACAUGCGUAGUGUUUAAUUCGUUCUCUUGAUUUGAUAAAUCACAAUAACCGAAUUCAUAGUUUUGCUGAUGAGGUUUGGAAUUGGAACAUUAAUUUUGUUUGCAUGGUGAUUUAAGGUUGAUUUAUGCAACGCUGAGUGCAUGUAUGUAGGAAUUUGUAUUCAUACCAAAGUAAAAUUUGUUAAGGCAAUCUAUUCAUUCUCAUUUUUUAGAUCUUUGUGCAAUUGGAAAAAAGUGAUAGAAGUAUGGAGGGGCAAUCAGAGUAUGAUAUGGUUCUUGCCAUGGUAUUUAAGAGUGAGGACAAAGGUUAUUCUUUCUACAAUAAGUAUGCGAAAGAGAGUGGUUUUAGUGUUACGAAGGAUUGCUACAGGUGUGAUUCUUCAUCGAACAUGAUAUUUCAUUGUCGAUUCACAUGCUCUUGGCAAGGAUAUAUGAAAGUAAAGUGGAUGGAUCUGUCUAACAGAAUUAGCUAGCCUAGGGCUCUUACUCACUGUGGUUGCGAAGCUUAGUUUGAGAUUAAAGUCGACCAGGGAAAAGGUGUAUGGUUUGUUCCGAGGUUUGUUAGGAAUCAUAAUCACCGUCUUUGUAAACCAUAUGGAGUGGUUUUCCUCCAGUCCCAUCGUGGUCUCUCGAAAGCACAAAAGGCCAAGGUAAUGGAAUUAAAAGAUGUUGGUUUGCGUCAACAUCGAGGGAUGGAUGUCAUUGAAAAAGAUCAUGGUGGAUAUGAGGUUGUUGGUUUUACAACAAAGGAUAUGUACAAUUAUUUUGUUAGAAUGAAGAAGAAACGCAUAGAUGAGGGAGACGUAGACCGUGUUGUAAAGUAUAUGAAGUCAUGAUGGAUGUUAGAUUUGGAGUUCUUCUUUGACUAUGAAACAAACAAUGAUGGAUGUUUGACAAGAUUAUUCUAGGUAGACUCACAAUCACAUAUUGAUUGUGAUGUAUUUGGUGAUGUGGUUGUCCUGGACAGUACAUAUCAAGUGAACAUGUAUAAUUUGCCCUUUAUCCCUUUUGUUGGUGUCAAUCACUAUGGUUCAACUGUCAUUUUUGUUUGUGUUGUUGCAUCUGAUGAGAGGGUUGCUACCUAUGAAUGGCUUCUUAGGCGAUUUCUCAACUACAUGUGUCAUAAACAUUCAAAGUCGUUGAUCACUAAUAAAGAUAAUGCGAUGCGAAGAGCAAUCGCUACCGUGUUUCCAUAUUCUGACCACCGUUUGUGCACCUAACAUAUUGAGCAAAACAUAACACCAUUUAAAUCCAAAUAUGUUAGCAGAUUUCAGAGCCUUGUACAUGCUCCUUAUGGGGAAGGUGAGCUUGAGAAGUGGGAGGAGUCUAACCAUAAAGUGUCUGAUGACAAUAGUUGAUUAAAUAGGAUGUAUAAUUUAAGGAAGAAAUGGGCUACUGCAUUCACAAAAGGUAGAGUUUUCCUUGGGAUGAAAAGUAACCAAAGAAGUGAGAGUCUGAACUCAAAACUUUAUAAGUUGUUGGAUCAUAAAAUGAGUCUAGUUGUAUUAGUGGAGCACCUAGGAGGCUUAGUUGGAUGCGAAAGCUUCACAGUCGUAUCCAUGUAUGUUAGAAGAUGCUAGCUCAACUGAGAGAAAUGCAGCAUCAUCGUAUACGCCAAAAAAUUUUAAGGUGGAGUCUGAGCUUAGCAAGGCUAUGAAUUGGCAGGUAAUAGAAACCAUUGAAGAGGAAAGUUGUAUCAGGUAUGUGCUUUUCUUGAAAGAAAAUGAAAAGAUGUUCAAUGUGAAGUAUAUGUACAAGCGAGCAGUAUUGGCUAACAUUUCAUGCCCAUACAAAAAAAAAUUGGAGUGUGAAUCCAUUCCUUGCCAUCAUAUACUUGCAGUUCUGUAUUCUUCAUAGUUGGAUGCCAUUUAACAUUUUUGCAUAGAUCGCAAAUGGACAAUUAAGGCAAAAAGUAUAUUUCCUUCCGAUAGUAUGGUGAAGUGUAUACUUGGUCAAAGCAGAUGGAGCAUUAUAGGAUGCUACGUACAAUGGCCAACGAAGUUUUUUUUUUCAAAUCCUCUAUGACAGAAGAUAACACCAUGAACGUGAUGAAGAUGCUAGAGAGUUUACUGCUUGAACAUGACAGUGGAGUAAAUGAAAUAAGUGAUGUUCAAUAUGGUUAUGUGGUUGGACAAAGUAUGCGUAUGGAUGCUGAGGUUAAUGAUCCAUCCCAAGUAGUACCGAGAGGUGCUCCAAAAAAGGAUUAGAUGUUUCUUUAGAAAAUGAGACUAGUGGAAGAAAGUGUAGAUAUUGCAAACAGCCCGGCCAUGAUAUCCGAACAUGUGAUGCUUUUCUAAGGCAAGUGUAGAUGUUUUUAAGUCUUGUAUAGCUAUUUAAGUAGUAUUCUAAAAAUAAUUUGUUUAAUUUGUUUGUACAGGAGGAUUGAGGUAGAUGUUUGAGAUGGCUUGGGGAGAGAAGCUGAUACGGUGGUCAUCUUUUGGUGCUAGGAUGGUAGGUAGGAAAGUUGUGUUAGUGACAAGUUGCACGUUUUUCUUCAGAUAAGGAUGUUGUUAGUUCCGAGUUAUCUAUUUUUUGUGUUAUCCUGAGUUGGAUCGACUAUGAAGUUGAAAUGAACUGUGGAGCUGAACUUGUCAUCUGUAAUGUGUUAUUGGAAUGUGCUGGUCCUAGAGGUCUGUUAAGUUGAUAAUUUAUUCUGAGGAGUG
rnacentral:lncRNA from 1 species